AGAGAGAGACAUGCGCGCAUAUCAAUAAGCGGAGGAAAAGAAACUAACAAGGAUUCCCUUAGUAACGGCGAGUGAAGCGGGAAGAGCUCAAAUUUGAAAUCUUCAAGGCUUUACCUUGACGAAUUGUAGUUUAAAGAAGUGUUUUCUGCUGAAGUUUUGGUAAAAGUUCUUUGGAAUAGGACAUCAUAGAGGGUGAGAAUCCCGUAUUUGACCAUUAUUUUCAGCUUUGUGAUACACUUUCAAAGAGUCGGAUUGUUUGGGAAUGCAGUCCAGAAUGGGUGGUAAAUUUCAUCUAAAGCUAAAUAUUGGCGAGAGACCGAUAGCGAACAAGUACCGUGAGGGAAAGAUGAAAAGAACUUUGAAAAGAGAGUUAAACAGUACGUGAAAUUGUCAAAAGGGAAGCGUUUGACACCAGUGUUGUUUUCUCGAAAAUCAAUUAAAAAUGGCUCGAUUUUGUAUUGCUUGAGACCUUAAAAGCUCACUGUACAUUUUUCGUGUCUUUUUUAAUGCACUUUUCGUUUAACAAGUCAACAUCAGUUUCUUUUGUUGUAAAAGGGUCAUUGGAAGGUGGCUUUCUUUUCGGAGAAAGUGUUUAUAGCCUUUGGCCUCUGCAAUCGGAGAGACUGAGGUCUGCAGCGUAGACUCUUCGGGGUUAGAUACAUUUGUGCUAAGUUAUAGCUUUUUAUAGACAACUUGUUGACUAUAAUUAGUCUUGUAGCUUACUCGCUUAUGCUAUUUUACCUACGCUUAGGAUGUUGAAGUCAUCGUAUCGCGC
rnacentral:rRNA from 1 species